rnacentral:rRNA from 1 species
UACGUAGGGUGCAAGCGUUAAUCGGAAUUACUGGGCGUAAAGCGUGCGCAGGCGGUUUUGUAAGUCUGUCGUGAAAUCCCCGGGCUCAACCUAGGAAUUGCGAUGGAGACUGCAAGGCUAGAAUCUGGCAGAGGGGGGUAGAAUUCCACGUGUAGCAGUGAAAUGCGUAGAGAUGUGGAGGAACACCGAUGGCGAAGGCAGCCCCCUGGGUCAAGAUUGACGCUCAUGCACGAAAGCGUGGGGAGCAAACAGG